rnacentral:rRNA from 1 species
GAUGAACGCUGGCGGCGUGCUUAACACAUGCAAGUCGAACGAAGCACUUUAUUUGAUUUCCUUCGGGACUGAUUAUUUUGUGACUGAGUGGCGGACGGGUGAGUAACGCGUGGGUAACCUGCCUUGUACAGGGGGAUAACAGUUGGAAACGGCUGCUAAUACCGCAUAAGCGCACAGCAUCGCAUGAUGCAGUGUGAAAAACUCCGGUGGUAUAAGAUGGACCCGCGUUGGAUUAGCUAGUUGGUGAGGUAACGGCCCACCAAGGCGACGAUCCAUAGCCGGCCUGAGAGGGUGACCGGCCACAUUGGGACUGAGACACGGCCCAAACUCCUACGGGAGGCAGCAGUGGGGAAUAUUGCACAAUGGGCGAAAGCCUGAUGCAGCGACGCCGCGUGAGCGAAGAAGUAUUUCGGUAUGUAAAGCUCUAUCAGCAGGGAAGAUAAUGACGGUACCUGACGAAGAAGCACCGGCUAAAUACGUG